CCACCAUCUAGGGCAUCAGUUAGUGUUACAGCACAGACUGAAGAUAUAAAAGGUGGUGCUGAAGAUGUCCGUCCUUCGCCAUCCCGAAGAUCAGCUACUGUGGAAAUACAGAAAGAAAGUUUCACACGUAGUGUGAAAACGUAUGCUGCAUCAUAUCUUGACAGAGAUUUGCGCCACCUGUCAUAUCUGGACAGAGAUAUCCCCAGCCGACUUUUGAAGGAAGGUUCUGUUGAUGUGCCAAGAUAUGGAAAGUCAUACUUUGAGGGAGAUUUCCAAAGACGACUGUCGAAG